UACGGGGGGAGCAAGCGUUGGUUCGGAUUUACUGGGCGUAAAGGGCGCGGUAGGCGGUCGUGACAAGUCACUUGUGAAAUCUCCGGGGCUUAAACUCGGGAACCGGUCAAGUGAUACUGAUCGGACUAGAGUACAGAAGGGGGCAACUGGAAUUCUCGGUGUAGCGGUGAAAAUGCGUAGAUAUCAGAGGAACACCUGCGGAAGGCGGUGCUGGGACUGAUGACAUCUGAGGCGCGAA
rnacentral:rRNA from 1 species